rnacentral:rRNA from 1 species
UACGAGGGGUCCAAGCGUUGCUCGGAAUCAUUGGGCGUAAAGCGGGUGUAGGCGGUUUUAUAAGUCAGAAGUGAAAGCCCUGGGCUCAACCCAGGAAGUGCUUUUGAUACUAUUUAACUUGAGUAUGGGAGAGGGAAGUAGAAUUCCUGGUGUAGUGGUGAAAUACGUAGAUAUCAGGAGGAACACCGGAGGCGAAGGCGGCUUCCUGGCCCAAUACUGACGCUCAGACCCGAAAGCGUGGGUAGCAAACAGG